AUUGUACUCCUUCCGUCCGGAAAUACUUGUUAUGAAUGUAUCUAGACUUAUUUUAGUUAUAGAUACAUUCAUUUUUAGGAUAAAUAUUUUCGGACAAAGGGAGUAUGAU
rnacentral:pre_miRNA from 1 species